rnacentral:rRNA from 1 species
GACAGAGGAUGCAAGCGUUAUCCGGAAUCACUGGGCGUAAAGCGUGCGUAGGUGGCGUGUUAAGUGUGAUGUUAAAUCGUGUGGCUCAACCAUAUCGAUGCAUCACAUACUGGCAUGCUAGAGGGAAGCAGAGGCAAGUGGAAUUGGUAGUGUAGCAGUGAAAUGCGUAGAUAUUACCAGGAACACCAAUGGCGAAGGCAGCUUGCUGGGCUUCUUCUGACACUGAGGUACGAAAGCGUGGGGAGCGAAACAGG